UUCUACAGGGGCAUGAGAACAUACAUAGAGAACUUAGUAAACUGUUUCAAUGAAGAACUACGCGUGUUUUACUUCCCUUCGCUGCCACCCAUUUCUUUAAGAUGAUGAACCUGCAUUCUCUCAAGGCAAAAGUGAGAUUUCUUAUUUGGAAUUGAUGAUGAGAGACGACCAGUUAUAAGUCAAUUCUAUCAGAAACUUGAGUGUCACAGGAAACAAAGGAGGAACAGACCACCCCUCACAGUAACCUAAAAUGAUUAAGCUGAAAUACAUAACUGAGCUCGAAUCUGCUGUACGUGCACUUCUCCAGCAGCGAGCCGUGUCGGUACUGAAGCGAAGGCAAGAUGAGCUGGAAACGGAAUCUACUUAUAUGCAGCACCUGACAACUGGGAAUGGCAAACCAAGUAAUGAUGGACUGGAGAGUGAUGAAAAGAUGAAGCUUCUGAAAACGUGUGAGCAUCAAAGAUAUGUGUAAUUACAUCUAACUGUAGUAUGUGUGUAUCUGCUUCCUGUUACUUACACACGGAUGAAGGUAAAUCCUUGCAGUUACUAAGUAAGAUGAUACACACACGUGCAAAAAUGCCUUUCCUUUCCAAAGCUCAAGGUACAUGGAAACCAUCUGUUUGUUAAUGGGGGGUUUUCUUCGUGCUGAUUGGAAUCUGAAUGUUAAUAGGUACUACUAAUUUAACGUAAGUUGAAGUGAGGCUGUUCACGAAACUGAAAGUAGAUUUUUCCCUGCUGUUGGAAUAAAUGAUAUUGUGAUUAUA